CGGGAUAAAGGCCACCAAGGCGACGAUCGGUAGCCGGACUGAGAGGUUGAUCGGCCACAUUGGGACUGAGACACGGCCCAGACUCCUACGGGAGGCAGCAGUGGGGGAUAUUGCACAAUGGGGGAAACCCUGAUGCAGCAACGCCGCGUGAAGGAAGAAGGUCUUCAGAUUGUAAACUUCUGUCCUCAGGGAAGAUAAUGACGGUACCUGAGGAGGAAGCUCCGGCUAACUAC
rnacentral:rRNA from 1 species